rnacentral:ncRNA from 2 species
AAAAAUGAAUAGAUAAAAGGUUCUUAAAUUUAUUUAAGAUUAAAAGGGAAAAUGGUUAAACUCCAUUACAGCCCCCGCUACUGUAAUUGCAGACGAAACUCUAAAUACCACUGAGAAAUUUUCUUGGGAAGGUAGAGGAUUAGGAUGAAGCAUAAGUCAGGAGACCUGCCUUUUAUAAAACCAUGCU